UACGGAGGGUGCGAGCGUUGUCCGGAAUCAUUGGGCGUAAAGGGCGCGUAGGUGGCCCGGUCAGUUCGUGGUGAAAGCGCGGGGCUCAACCCUGCGUCGGCCAUGAAUACUGCCGCGGCUGGAGCACUGUAGAGGCAGGCGGAAUUCCGCGUGUAGCAGUGAAAUGCGUAGAUAUGCGGAGGAACACCGAUGGCGAAGGCAAUCCCCUGGGCCUGCACUGACGCUCAUGCACGAAAGCGUGGGGAGCAAACAGG
rnacentral:rRNA from 1 species